GCCAGACUCCUACGGGAGGCAGCAGUGGGGAAUAUUGCACAAUGGGGGGAACCCUGAUGCAGCGACGCCGCGUGGGUGAAGGAGCACCUCGGUGCGUAAAGCCCUAUCGGCAGGGAAGAAACAGACGGUACCUGACUAAGAAGCCCCGGCUAACUACGUGCCAGCAGCCGCGGUAAUACGUAUGGAGCAAGCGUUAUCCGGAAUUACUGGGUGUAAAGGGAGCGUAGGCGGCAAGGCAAGUCUGAUGUGAAAACCCAGGGCCCAACCCUGGGACUGCAUUGGAAACUGUAUUGCUUGAGUGCCGGAGAGGCAGGCGGAAUUCCUAGUGUAGCGGUGAAAUGCGUAGAUAUUAGGAGGAACACCAGUGGCGAAGGCGGCCUGCUGGACGGUAACUGACGCUGAGGCUCGAAAGCGUGGGGAGCAAACAGGAUUAGAUACCCGCGUA
rnacentral:rRNA from 1 species